CUUUCCUAAAAAUCCUGGUGGUGCUCUAGGAAGUGUUUCUUUCUGAAACCCUUACCGCUAUUUCAGACCAAAUUAUGCAAUUUUCCUCACCUUUUGUUUGGACCUAACUUAAAUUUGGUGCUUAAUUUUAGGCCAAACCCUACUAAGGAGCAUUGAUUUGUGUAAAUAUUUACAGUGAAGGACCUCAAUUUCCUUAUGUUAUUUAAAUUGCGCUUCUUAAGAAACGAAUAAUAAAGAAUUUAAAAAAAACCCUUUCUUUCUAAGAAUUAUACCUCACUGCUGACUACAGUGCAGAAGCUAUACCAUAUUUCAAAGUAAGACGGUCGGAAUCCCCGCCUACCCCAAAAAGGCUCAAAAUCCAUACUAUCUGAUAUACAUAAAGCCAUAUAGCUUACAAAAGUGAGUACCUCCCCCGGCUGACGUUAUUGUGCGUGUAAAUGGAAACUACUUACUUUACACUGAUGGCAUGUUCUUCUUCAAUUUCGGCAGAAACACACGAAGAGCAGACAGCCACACACAAAUGAAUGUUGUUCCCCGUAGUAUAAUUCUCAAAGGAUGUGAAGGAAACGUAGCCAAAUUCAAAGAUCGCAUGCUGCGAUCAAUGCAGGGGCAUGGAUUAUAGUGGUAAAUAUCAUUGCCAAAAAACUCCAAAAGUUACGUACCUCACUAGACCACUCUUUAAGUUUUCAAACCAAAAUAUGAAUGACUCAAUUACUGAAUGAUCUAUCCAUCCAUCCAUUGUUUAAUUGUUUCAUCAUGUCCCUCACUUUCAUUUCCGGUGCCACGGAUAUCACCUUAUAAAUUUUAAGCCACAAAGAUCGCAAUCUGUCAAGUUACACGUACUAGAAAACGUGAUUCAAGUGUAGUGGUUUUGUUAUAUAAACCACUUGCCAAGCAAAGGGUUCAUUCCAAAUUUGAUAAUUCAGGCGGAGUGCUACACUAGAAGUUGCGGGGUACUGCUCACAAUUAUAAGCGGAGAUAGUAUACCGAUCAACGUUCGAUGGUUCUGAGUUCUCCAUCCUUGAAUGAUUGGAAACUUUCUUGGAUCCAUGCCCGGGUUUUAUCAAGAUGUUUGGUAUGAGGAAAUCAUUGCUGUUGACACUGGCUGUUACUCUUAUUACUGUGUCCCUUUCGAAACAAGAUUGUGCUAGCUGUUGUCAUGGAAAGUGGAAUGCGUGUUUCACGGGUUGUGAGACUAUGCAGGCUUGUGCUUCACAAUGCAACGCAGAACUAAAGAUAUGUCAAAAUGGCUGUCCAGGGUCCUGCUCAGUGAAAAACCCGCCUUCAUUUCGCAAGCAAAAUCUUAUCUCAGACGGUCGCUCCAGCAACAGACCCAAGAAACUCAAGAUGAAAUGGAAGCUAAGUAAAUUGCUCAAAAAACUUCGAAGGAGGAGUGGAAGUUAAUUGAAGGAACAGUUGAAGAAUUACGAGGAAAGCGGCUUGGCUUAACAUUCUGCCAAAGAACUGCACUUAUCCAUGUUCUCAGAAGCCGGAUUCAAUAACCGUUUUCAUCGGAGGAAAUUGAAGCAUAAAACACCACCGUUGAUUCGAACGAGAUAAAACUAUGGAGAAGAACGUAAUGUUAUUCGAUCAAUGUCUCUGGGACAAUUCCAAGAUCAAGGCAUUUCGUUUAUGUUGUGCCCGAGGAAGAUGGUUCGUCGAAACCUUCAUUUGGUGCUUUUUCCCUUCAAAACUCUUUCCUCGCGUUGUGAAAGUUUUGCUGAAAUAAACUUGUCAAAAAUUUAGAUUGAAGGACGUUCGCGCUAAUUGUCUGUGCGUACUCUUACUGCGCACGCAAAUUCACACGCCACGUCAUGCAUCGAGCGCGCGCGCUAAGUAAUAAAACAAACAAUGUUAGACAGUAUAAAUCUAAUCGAUAAAAGUGUCGUUUUUUGUCACUGACUUGUAUAUUUUAGCAAGACGUUUCGGCUAACUGUUAAGCCUUCAUCAGUUGAAAAAUCGCUUGAUGUUACGCGCGAUUCAAAAACUUUUUUAAAAUUGAAACGUUGCGCGUGCUGUAUAUGCGCGUGACUCGAGAGAAUUUUAAGUGCGUGCCAAGCACUUGUAAACUUCAGGGAUGACUAUGUGAUCAUUCCCAGCGUUCGGGUCUUUUACAGGCAUCCAAACUUCUAGAAAAAGCCGCUGAUGGUAAUGUGCCUCAUGUCCGACGACUUCAACGUUUUCAAAGUCCAUGUGAUGAUGGCAUUCGUGAAUAUGACACGCAAGUUUGGAGUUAUGAUCGAACAUCAAGACAGCCUGUUUGUGCUCGGAAACCCGCAUCUUCAGAGAUCUUUCGGUCUGGCCAUAGCAUACAAAAUCGCACUGACUGCAAUUGAUUCUGUACACUACUCCAGAUGAUGGACGGUCAGUUUCAUCCUGCUGUUUCGGUAUAAAUCUACUAGCGUUCUAUCACGAAUGCCGUUCUCGGAUUGGCUACGC